AUUGAACGCUGGCGGCAUGCUUUACACAUGCAAGUCGAGCGGUAACAGGCCUUCGGGUGCUGACGAGUGGCGAACGGGUGAGUAAUGCAUCGGAACGUACCCAGAGGUGGGGGAUAACGCAGCGAAAGCUGUGCUAAUACCGCAUGUGAUCUGAGGAUGAAAGCGGGGGACCGAGCAGCAAUGUUUGGCCUCGCGCCUUUGGAGCGGCCGAUGUCGGAUUAGCUAGUUGGUGGGGUAAAGGCCUACCAAGGCGACGAUCCGUAGCUGGUCUGAGAGGACGAGCAGCCACACUGGGACUGAGACACGGCCCAGACUCCUACGGGAGGCAGCAGUGGGGAAUUUUGGACAAUGGGCGCAAGCCUGAUCCAGCAAUGCCGCGUGCGGGAAGAAGGCCUUCGGGUUGUAAACCGCUUUUGGCAGGAACGAAACGGUGUCCGCUAAUACCGGGCGCUAAUGACGGUACCUGCAGAAUAAGCACCGGCUAACUACGUG
rnacentral:rRNA from 1 species